GUGGCCAGAACCACCAUCCCCAACCCAGAUCUGAUGGAGGCGGUGGCCAGAACCACUAUCCCCAUCCCCAGACUUGCCUGACCUUGGUGGGCUCGAAUCUAGGUUCUACCGGAUGUGGUGUUUGGCGGCGGCGACCAGAAUCACCACGAGGACCACGGCGGCAGCACCACAAACUCCGGCGUCCACUACCUGAGCCGCAUGAAUCUCCGGCCACUGUGAGGCAUGGAACUCCAUUUAGAUGAUUCUCAAUUAAAUCCAAGUGCGGCACAACGUCUUCAAACAGGCAGAACUUAUCAUAUUCGAUUUCUUUCCUGUUGAAGAUUUUGCGUGAGUUAUAUGUUGGAUUUAUUCCUUUGGUGGCGUGGAUUGCUUGCUGCAGUGCAAAGCAGCACAUAGGAUGCAGGCAACCAGAUUAGUUUUGGAUCUAAAUUUUUUUUAUGCUUUGUUAUUUUAAUAAACCUAAUGCGGGUUAUUUAGUUUAAUAUACAUAAACCUGUUGUAUUUUUUUUACAUGCAUUUUAGAUUGUCCUACAAGCUUUGUACAAUGUUUCCAAUCAAUGCUAGCUCUUUUUAAAGAGAAUCAAGAUAUUUCUACACAAUUAAACAUCAAUAUUUCGAUAGUAAGACAUUGUGUAUGCAUGCACAUUUGCUGACUAACAUGCACGGUCGAUUGUACUGGAUACCUAGGCUUCAUAAGGCUCAAGCAUAACCUCCAGUUUUGCAGGAAAAAAUACACGCUAUAUUUGUUCGGCCAUGAUUUGGAGCCUUUUCAGUUUCUUUGCCUAGAAGAGGAAAAGAAGAGAAGGAACCAAUUCAUGAAUAGGACCCGCAUAGAGCUUAUCCAUCCAUGAAGGCUGAAACCUCUCUCCCUUCCACACAUUAUUUCAGCAUGUGCAUGAAUCAAUACUGAAAACGGCGGGCUUCAUCUUGCCAAACUUGAUUGAAUUUUGUAGGUGUGUCAUUGCUUCAGAUUGUGAAACCUGUGAUUACUCUGUACAUUUGAUUAUUUUUCCUGAUUCCAUGUAGUGUGUCGACAUUUACUUGGAUUUCAACAUUUGUUCGCCUGGGUGUUUCGACAUACACUCCGUCCUCACGCCUGCGGAUUAUGGACAUUUUCACCUGAACACUCAUGACCCAUGUCAAGGCUAAUGUGGCAGCAGUGACUGUGACUGUAAAAGGGUUUUUAUAUUGAUGAUUUUUGCUGCUUUGUCGCGAGGUGGAGCAGUCUUAUGUUGAUUUAAUGUGUGCCUGGUAACCCCCUCUUAGAACGAGUAAGUUUAUCCUAUUUCAUGUGGUUAUCCCCUACUACAGUAAUCUCAUACAAUAAAGUGUUUAAUUAAGCUUGUUCGUAAAAAUUUCAUUCUAAUAAUAUGGAAGUAUUAUGUGUCCAUUGCAAUCUGCUUUCUAGGUGUUGGUCUUGUCAAACAUCAAGGAUGGCAAUGUGGUCGGUUGAGUCGAGAAAGAUGUCUUAGGGAGAUACGAGGAGGGGUCCAGGUCCAGGCUUGUGCUGGUGCUCGGGUAGCUAGGCGCAGGGCGUAAGAACCUGGAAUCCGCUCUCUGUUUCAGCAGUUCGACAUCUUACGGAUGGAUUUGAUUUCUUCUUCUGCUGUUUGUGGUUUUUAUUUGACAUCAAUGAAAGCAUUUGCACGAGCAUUUCUUCUUCUGCUGCUGUCUGGCACCGACAUGUAAAAUGGCUGAUUCAAAGGUGUUGCCUCCGAAUGAUGCUGAGAAUGAUUCAAGUUACGAAAACUUUGGCUUCAUCACUAAUAUUGGUCUCCAACUGUACCCGCCCUCCAGAUUUGAUCGCCAAGAUGGUACAUCAGUGUGGUCUUGCUCUCCAGAUUUGUACACACUUGGUUUUUUCAUUUACUCCAUCAUCUGUUUGUAUUUGACCAAGUGUAUCUCCACAUCUAACGGCCAUGCCUGUUUGGACUUGCUCGUGUAAUACUGGUCUGUUACAAUAUCAUGAAAGACGGGCAGUCUCUAGGAUAUGUUCUGUUUUGAAAUAGUUUAUGAGAUUUCACAGUUGAGUGAUUACAGCUCAGGGUUUGGUGAUGGACAUGGAAUGAAAUGUCAUGCAUGUUUUUACUGACAAAUUCUUGUACCGGUAAAUCAUCUUGUGCAUUUUUAAGCGCAGCCAUAUCAUCUGAUCUUCAGUCUACAUAUGUAUUUUCUUAAGAAUGGAUAAUCACAAAUAUAUUCUCAUGGAGAUAGCAUCUUUUCUUCGCUACCAGCAGGAAUACAGCUUGGACAGUGCAUCAGCUCCAACUUGGCUAGAGUGUUAGUUAUUCUUUCCCUGUUGAAUAAUCAGUUUUAAGAUGUACUUUGUUUAAAAAAAAUUAAGAUGUAUCAUUUGUCCAGCGAAGCAAUCAAAAUUGGUUCAUACUUUCAAAGUAGAAGAUCUAACUAUGUAAAUGUACAUUCUACAACUUCCUUUUACAGGAGGAUAUAUCAUGUUAGUGUGUUGUAUCAAAAUUUGUAUGGACACUUGAUGCCUUUUUA